rnacentral:rRNA from 1 species
AGCAACGCCGCGUAUGCGAAGAAGGCCUUCGGGUUGAAAAGCACUAAUUGAGAGAAUGAGGCAGGACGGUACUAUCAGAAUAAAUAAAGGCUAACUACGUGCCAGCAGCCGCGGUAACACGUAGGAGGCGAACGUUAUCCGGAUUUACUGGGCGUAAAGCGCGUGUAGGUGGUUUGGUAAGUAGGGCGUGAAAGCUCCUGGCUCAACUGGGAGAGGCCGUUCUAAACUGCCGAACUAGAGGAUGGUAGAGGGAGGUGGAAUUCCGGGUGUAGCGGUGGAAUGCGCAGAUAUCCGGAGGAACACCAGUGGCGAAAGCGGCCUCCUGGACCAUUCCUGACACUCAGACGCGAAAGCUAGGGUAGCAAACGG